rnacentral:tmRNA from 1 species
GGGGCUGAUUCUGGAUUCGACGGGAUUUGCGAAACCCAAGGUGCAUGCCGAGGGGCGGUUGGCCUCGUAAAAAGCCGCAAAAAAUAGUCGCAAACGACGAAAACUACGCUUUAGCAGCUUAAUAACCUGCUUAGAGCCCUCUCUCCCUAGCCUCCGCUCUUAGGACGGGGAUCAAGAGAGGUCAAACCCAAAAGAGAUCGCGUGGAAGCCCUGCCUGGGGUUGAAGCGUUAAAACUUAAUCAGGCUAGUUUGUUAGUGGCGUGUCCGUCCGCAGCUGGCAAGCGAAUGUAAAGACUGACUAAGCAUGUAGUACCGAGGAUGUAGGAAUUUCGGACGCGGGUUCAACUCCCGCCAGCUUCACCA